UGAGUAACGCGUGGGUAACCUGCCCUUAAGUCUGGGAUACCAUUUGGAAACAGAUGCUAAUACCGGAUAAAAGCUACUUUCGCAUGAAAGAAGUUUAAAAGGCGGCGUAAGCUGUCGCUAAAGGAUGGACCUGCGAUGCAUUAGCUAGUUGGUAGGGUAACGGCCUACCAAGGCGAUGAUGCAUAGCCGAGUUGAGAGACUGAUCGGCCACAUUGGGACUGAGACACGGCCCAAACUCCUACGGGAGGCAGCAGGCC
rnacentral:rRNA from 1 species